UCGCUUUUAAUCUGGACCGUCCAAUCGCGAAUAAAUAGGAAGUGAAUCUGGGUCGUUUAUCGCGAUUCAGUCUGUGCGCGAUUCAAUCUGCACCAUCCCUGCGCGAUGUAAUCUGGAUCGUCCGUGCGUAUUUUUUAUCUUGGUGGUCCGUGCGUGUGGGAACGGAUCUCAGCCGUUCGAUCGUGCGCACGUGGAUCACCCAUGUGGCUCCCUCCCGCGUCAGCGUCUCUGCCAUCUAGCGCGUCCUGGUUGGUCAGGGCUGUUGACCAGGUAGUUGACGUGGCAUCAAUUUUUUAAAUUACGUUUUGACCCCCGGUUUCUGAUUUUGUUCU
rnacentral:lncRNA from 1 species